AUACGGAGGAUCCGAGCGUUAUCCGGAUUUAUUGGGUUUAAAGGGUGCGCAGGCGGCCAUUUAAGUCAGCGGUUAAAUCGUGGGGCUCAACCCCAUUCUGCCGUUGAUACUGGGUGGCUUGAUUGCGGUCGAGGUUUGCGGAAUUCGUUGUGUAGCGGUGAAAUGCAUAGAUAUGACGAAGAACACCGAUUGCGUAGGCAGCUGACCAGACCGCAAAUGACGCUCAUGCACGAAAGUGCGGGGAUCGAACAGGAUUAGAUACCCUGGUAGUCCGCACAGUAAACGAUGAAUACUUGUUUUCGGCGAUAUAAUGUCGGAGGCAAAGCGAAAGCGAUAAGUAUUCCACCUGGGGAGUACGCCGGCAACGGUGAAACUCAAAGGAAUUGGCGGGG
rnacentral:rRNA from 1 species